rnacentral:rRNA from 1 species
AUGGCUCAGAUUGAACGCUGGCGGCAUGCCUUACACAUGCAAGUCGAACGGUAACGGGCCUUCGGGUGCCGACGAGUGGCGAACGGGUGAGUAAUGCAUCGGAACGUACCUUUCAGUGGGGGAUAACGUAGCGAAAGUUACGCUAAUACCGCAUAUUCUGUGAGCAGGAAAGCAGGGGAUCGCAAGACCUUGCGCUGAUUGAGCGGCCGAUGUCAGAUUAGCUAGUUGGUGAGGUAAAGGCUCACCAAGGCGACGAUCUGUAGCGGGUCUGAGAGGAUGAUCCGCCACACUGGAACUGAGACACGGUCCAGACUCCUACGGGAGGCAGCAGUGGGAAUUUUGGACAAUGGGGCAACCCUGAUCCAGCCAUACCGCGUGAGUGAAGAAGGCCUUCGGGUUGUAAAGCUCUUUCGGCCGGGAAGAAAUCGCAUGGGUUAAUACCCUGUGCGGAUGACGGUACCGGCAUAAGAAGCACCGGCUAACUACGUG